UCCCGAUUAGCUCAGUUGGUUAGAGCGUGGUGCUAAUAUAACCCUUGAGUUAACGCCAAGGUCAGCGGUUCGACCCCGCUAUUGGGAA
rfam:Glarea lozoyensis ATCC 20868 chromosome Tnknown GLAREA7, whole genome shotgun sequence.